rnacentral:rRNA from 1 species
GAUGAACGCUAGCUACAGGCUUAACACAUGCAAGUCGAGGGGUAACAAGAGAGAAGCUUGCUUUUCUUGUUGACGACCGGCGCACGGGUGAGUAACGCGUAUCCAACCUGCCUAGAACUAGGGAAUAACCUUGCGAAAGUAAGACUAAUACCCUAUGAUUUCCUUUGAUGACAUCAGAUUAGGAAUAAAGAUUUAUCGGUUAUAGAUGGGGAUGCGUCUGAUUAGCUUGUUGGCGGGGUAACGGCCCACCAAGGCAACGAUCAGUAGGGGUUCUGGAAGGAAGGUGCCCCGCAUUGGAACUGAGACACGGUCCAAACUCCUGCGGGAGGCAGCAGUGAGGAAUAUUGGUCAAUGGGCGGAAGCCUGAACCAGCCAAGUAGCGUGCAGGAUGACGGCCCUAUGGGUUGUAAACUGCUUUUAUACAGUAAUAAAGUUAGCCACGUGUGGUUAUUUGUAGGUACUGUAUGAAUAAGGACCGCCUAAUUCCGUGCCAGCCGCCGCAGUAA